rnacentral:rRNA from 1 species
CACGUAGGCGGACAUUUAAGUCAGGGUGAAAUCCCAGAGCUCAACUCUGGAACUGCCUUUGAUACUGGGUGUCUAGAGUAUGGAAGAGGUGAGUGGAAUUCCGAGUGUAGAGGUGAAAUUCGUAGAUAUUCGGAGGAACACCAGUGGCGAAGGCGGCUCACUGGUCCAUUACUGACGCUGAGGUGCGAAAGCGUGGGAGCAAACA